ensembl:lncRNA
CUUCUCUCUGGACACAAAGCCCCCUUGGGGUAUGUAGUUAUUUUCUUCCAGACAGGAGCCUGGAACUGGAGCAUUAACUCUUUAACUCCCAGUCCACUACAUGAUGUUAUGAUCUGGAAUACCAAUAACCAAAAAUCAUAAAACCAUGACAAUACCACUUGGAUACCUUGGACUCCAGAUCAUAUUGGAGUUCUAGCAUGCCUGGCACAGCAGCACUUAGCAGUGGUGUGACUUCAUUCAGGCCUUGAUAGUCCACUGUUAAUCUCCACUCUCCAUUGGAUUUUGCACCGGCCAUAUGGGAUUACUGAAGGUUGUGUUUCAACAGCUUCCUGUCUUUCUGGAGGAUCUCAUUUGAUAGAGGAAAGUGGAUCCAGGAAACCCAAAUCUACCACAUACAUUUGGCUCUUCUGGAAAGAAGUGGAAGGAAUUGUGCUCUGAUACACGGUCACAGAACAACAUCACAGUUUUAUGAAUUUUCAUUUUCACAGCUUGUUGGUUGCUAAAUGAAUAUGCUAAAAUGUACUAAAUAUUUGUUUGUUUGUUUGAAAAAAAAUUGAAAUUUUGAAAAUUUGAAGAAUUUUCAAUUUGAAAGAAAAAUUUGAAGAAUUUGAAGCAUUUUGAAAUUUGAAGAAAGCCUUUUGCAAGUUAAGACCAUAAUUCUGAGAUGCUUUCCUAUUUUGUUAAACGUAUUAAAGCAGAUGAUUUAUAAUUGGUGACUUUCAGCAGUCAUAAUGUGACUUUAAUUUCCAAACUUUGUGAUGGCCAGAUCUAAGACUACUUGCUUUAAAGGAGAAAUUUAUUUUCUUCUGAUGCAUUUCUGUUUACUUCUUAAUUUGUUUGAAUUAAUGAGUUCACAAUCAUACUCUCUAAAACAUUCCUGGUGCUACAUCUUUUCUUAUAAAUAAACUUUUUUCUUAAUAC